GACGAACGCUGGCGGCGUGCCUAAUACAUGCAAGUCGAACGCACAGUUUAUACCGUAGCUUGCUACACCAUAGACUGUGAGUUGCGAACGGGUGAGUAACGCGUAGGUAACCUGCCUGGUGGCGGGGGAUAACUAUUGGAAACGAUAGCUAAUACCUCAUAAUAUUAAUUAUUGCAUGAUAAUUAAUUGAAAGGUGCAAUUGCACCACUACCAGAGGGACCUGCGUUGUAUUAGCUAGUAGGGGAGGUAACGGCUCACCUAGGCGACGAUACAUAGCCGACCAGGAAGGGGGGUCGGCCACCCUGGGACGGGGACACGGCCCAGAACCCUGCGGGAGGGAGCAGUAGGGAAUCUUCGGCAAUGGGCGAAAGUCUGAACGGGGAACGCCGCGGGAGGGAAGAAGGGUGUCGGGUCGGAAAGCUCUUGUGUAAGGGAAGAACGGAAGUGAGAGUGGAAAGUUCACACUGUGACGGUACCUUACCAGAAAGCGACGGCUAACUACGUG
rnacentral:rRNA from 1 species